rnacentral:rRNA from 1 species
UACGUAGGGUGCGAGCGUUGUCCGGAAUUAUUGGGCGUAAAGAGCUCGUAGGCGGUUUGUCGCGUCGAAUGUGAAAACCCGGGGCUCAACUCCGGGCCUGCAUUCGAUACGGGCAGACUAGAGUUCGGUAGGGGAGACUGGAAUUCCUGGUGUAGCGGUGAAAUGCGCAGAUAUCAGGAGGAACACCGGUGGCGAAGGCGGGUCUCUGGGCAGUAACUGACGCUGAGGAGCGAAAGCGUGGGGAGCGAACAGG